UAUCGGCCCAGUCCACUCUUAAAAAAUAACGGAUUCGACCUUAAAAAUAUAAGUCCAAAAAAAAUCAGGUUUUUCAGGCUAAUCCCUUUCGGACUUAAGGAUUUUUGGGGCUUAAUCUGACGGGAUUCGAAGCGGUCCGAAUAACCUUUAAUUUUUUUUGUUAAUAUUUUCGUUUAAUUGAGAGAAUUGCUUAUUUUUAUUUUUUGCAAUAGAGUUGAAAACUCUAAAUCUAGUUAUGUAACUGUGUCUUAUUAUAAACCUAAGAAACAAAUCUUGGCUCUACUCCCAAGUUGAAGUC